UACGGAGGGAGCUAGCGUUGUUCGGAAUUACUGGGCGUAAAGCGCACGUAGGCGGCUUUGUAAGUUAGAGGUGAAAGCCCGGGGCUCAACCCCGGAAUUGCCUUUAAGACUGCAUCGCUUGAAUCCAGGAGAGGUGAGUGGAAUUCCCGGUGUAGCGGUGAAAUGCGCAGAUAUCGGGAGGAACACCAGUAGCGAAGGCGACACUCUGGGCCGGUACUGACGCUGAGGAGCGAAAGCGUGGGGAGCAAACAGG
rnacentral:rRNA from 1 species